UGAAUUUGGGAGUUCUGAAUAUGUCUCUGAUACUUAUUAGCUCUGUGACCACUGCCAGGAAAUUUUUAACCACUUUAAAUUUCAGUCUAUUCAUCUGUGAAAUGUGCCUAAUAGUGCCUAAAGUACUUAUACUACAUAGUUUUGUGAGACUCAGAUAAUGUAUAUGUAAUAAAUUUAAAUAGUUAUUUAAAUUUCACAUUAUUAUUAUGACUAAGAAUAAUGCAUUUACAUAGAUAUUAAUAACAAUACUAUUAAUGUGAGGGAUUGCCUAUCAAUUAGGGAAAGGCUAAACAGUUGUGAUAUAUGACUAUGACAAAAUCCUACUGUGCUAUAAGAAAUAAGGAACAGCUAAAUCAUUACUGAUUAGAGAAAUGCAAAUUAAGACAACUCUGAGAUACCACUAUACACCUCUCAGAUUGGCUGUGAAGGAAAGAUAAUGAUGAAUGUUAGAGUGGAUGUAGGAAAACAGGAGCACUAAUACAUUUUUGGUGGAGUUGUGAACAGAUCCAACUAAUAUGGAGAACAACAUGGAACUAUGUUCAAAAGUUAUAAAACUGUGCAUAUGCUUUGAUCUAGCAGUGUCUCUAAUGGGACUGUAUCCCAAAUAGAUCACGAAAAAGGGAAAAAGAUCCACAUAAGUGCAAAUGUUUGUGGCAGCCCUUUUUGUAGUAGCAAGGAACUGGAAACUGAAUGGAUGCCCAUCAGUUGGAGAAUGGCUGAAUAAGUUAUGGUAUAUUAAUGUUAUGGAAUAUUAUUCUAUAAGAAAUGAUCAGCAGGAUGAUUUCAGAAUGGCCUGGAAACUUAAAUGAAUCUAUGAUAAGUGGAGUAGAACCAAGAGAACAUUACACACAGCAACAACAAUAUUAUAUGAUGAUCAAUUCUGAUGGUCGUAGCUCUUUUCAACAAUGAAGUAAUUCAGGCCAGUUCCAAUGGUCUUGUGAUAGAGCGGACUCUGGGGACUGAGUGUGGAUCACAACAUAUUUUCACUUUUUUGGUUAUUGUUGUUGGCUGGCCUUUUGUUUUCUUUCUCAUUUUUUUUUCUUUUUGAUCUUAGUUUUCUUUUGCAGUACAACAAUUGUGAAAAGAUGUAUAAAAGAAACAUAUGUUAAACAUAUGUUUGAUUACUUGCCAUCUAUGGGAGGGAAAUCAGGGGAAGGAAAGCAGGAAAAAAAUUUUGGAACACAAGGUUUUGCAAGGAAGAAUAUAGAAAACUGUACAUGUGUUUUGAAAAUAAAAAGCUUUAUUAAAAAAAAGAAAAAUGAGUAGCAGGAUAACUUAUAUGAACUGAUGCAAAAUGAAAUAAGCAGAAUCAGGAGAAUACUGUACUCAGUACCAACAAGACUAUAUGGUGGUCAAGUGCGAAUGAUUCAUUCUCAAUAAUAUAACGAUCCAACACAAUUCCAAAGGACUCAUUAUAAAAAUGCUAACAAUCUCCUAAGAAAGAACUAAUGGAGAUUGAAACAUACCUUUUAAAUUUUUAUUAUUUUUUUUAAAUCUGUGACUUCUUUUGCAACAUGGCUAAAACGGAAAUGUUUUGCAUGAUUGCAUACAUGUAAUCUAUAUAAAAAUUGCUUGUCUUUUCAAGGUGGAGGGGAGGAAAGAGAAUAUGGAACUCAAAUUUUUUUUAAAGUUAAAAUUUUAAUUUUUUUUCACAAUUACUUUUAACAUUUUAAAAAUAUUUCUAUAAUAAGUGAGCAAUAAAUGACAGUCAUAAGAAAAGAUUUAACCUAUAAAACUACACGAAAAAUUGUUGUUGCUAAAGAGAAAAUCUAUAUUUUCCAGUGUCUUCAAAAAAUAAACAUGAUAAGCAGGACACUUUAACUAAAAUUUAAUUGAUUCCCAAUGAUAUUCAAUUAAGAAAAGUGCAAUGCUUGAAUGAUGAGAAUUCUUAUUCCUAAUUGUGGAAAUUGCUUCCCAUUCUAUAUUGUUGUUCUGUGGAUCCAGUUCUAUCCAUAUUUAACUUUGCUCUGUUAGUGAAGAAAUUUUGCAUGUCCUAAUCCCCAGGAAUAAAUGGUUGUCCCUAGUAAUGCUACAGCUGCAUAUGAACAAACCCAGCCUAUUGCUUUUCUGGUUCAGACUUUACCUGUGCAAAAACACUUUGUCUAGCAACAUCUAAUAUUCAUAAAGCAUUUACUAUCUGCUAAGUGCUUUAUAAAUAUUAUGUCAUUUGACCAUUUGGUAAUCCCUCUUUUCAUACUUUGCCUCUUUGGGAGCUCUUAUAUGUGGAAACUCCUACACUUGGAACAUUCCAGGCUAGAAGCUUCCAGUUUCAUAACUCAUUGGUAUCUUCCUGACUGUGACCUCAUGUGUGUGAAACCAAUCAGAUCUGUCUGAGCAGGACCACUCCCCUCUCUUUAAACAUCUGGGGUACCUUUCAGCUGAGCAGGCUAUCUUGAACACAGAUUCAGAAAUCCUCCAGCAUCAUGUGUCCCUUCUUCCAGCCAUGGCUUGAAGAACAUCGUACUCUAGACUGCCUGUGUCAAUGAUAAACAUUUGAAGAAAGAUCAAAAGGAAGAACAGUACUUGCUCAUGAGUCAACAUUUAUUGCAGAAGAUGAUAAGGUAAAGAAAUUCUGAGAAGAACUUGAUAUGACUUCCUGAGUUAAAUCAAAUACACUUUACUAUUCAGUGACUUCAAUGUAAAGGAAAUGAUGAAGAUGGUGUUUUGAGAAAAACCUCAGAAGACUUAUAUGAAGUGAUGCACAGUGAAGUGAGCAGAAUCAGGAAAAUAAUAUACAGUAAAAUAGUUUAUAGAAUAACAACAUUAGAAAAAUAAACAGCUUUGAAAACCUUUGUAACUUUUAGUAACUACGAAUCCAGAACUAUGAUGAAACAUGCUACCCACCUACCUUGAUAGAGAAGUGAUGGACCAAAUUUUCAGAUUGAAGCUUCUUUCUUUUUUUGAUUUAGCUAAAGUGAGAAUGUUUUUUCUUCACUAUACAUAAUUGUAAUAUUUUGUUUUUCUUGGUGCAAUGGGUACAAGACCCGGUAAAUGUGAAGGAGAAAGUUUGGAACCAAAAGUAAAAGUAAACAAUUUUCUCUAUAUUCAAGACAUAGAUGAAA